GACGAACGCUGGCGGCGUGCCUAAUACAUGCAAGUAGAACGCUGAAGAGAGGAGCUUGCUCUUCUUGGAUGAGUUGCGAACGGGUGAGUAACGCGUAGGUAACCUGCCUUGUAGCGGGGGAUAACUAUUGGAAACGAUAGCUAAUACCGCAUAACAAUGGAUGACACAUGUCAUUUAUUUGAAAGGGGCAAUUGCUCCACUACAAGAUGGACCUGCGUUGUAUUAGCUAGUAGGUGAGGUAAUGGCUCACCUAGGCGACGAUACAUAGCCGACCUGAGAGGGUGAUCGGCCACACUGGGACUGAGACACGGCCCAGACUCCUACGGGAGGCAGCAGUAGGGAAUCUUCGGCAAUGGGGGCAACCCUGACCGAGCAACGCCGCGUGAGUGAAGAAGGGUUUCGGAUCGUAAAGCUCUGUUGUAAGUCAAGAACGGGUGUGAGAGUGGAAAGUUCACACUAUGACGGUAGCUUACCAGAAAGGGACGGCUAACUACGUG
rnacentral:rRNA from 1 species